GACGAACGCUGGCGGCGUGCUUAACACAUGCAAGUCGAGCGAUGAAAGCCUUAUGAACUAUUCGUAGUGAUUGGGGCCGGAUUAGCGGCGGACGGGUGAGUAACGCGUGAGCAACCUGCCUUAAACAACGGGAUAGCCUCGGGAAACCGGGAUUAAUACCGUAUGAGACCCCGCCUUCACAUGAAGAAGAGGUUAAAGAUUUAUCGGUUUAAGAUGGGCUCGCGUCUGAUUAGCUAGUUGGUGAGAUAAAAGCCCACCAAGGCAACGAUCAGUAACCGGCUGGAAAGAGUGAACGGUCACAUUGGAACUGAGACACGGGCCAAACUCCUACGGGAGGCAGCAGUGGGGAAUAUUGCACAAUGGGGGAAACCCUGAUGCAGCGACGCCGCGUGAGCGAUGAAGGAAUUCGUUUCGUAAAGCUCUGUCCAAGGGGAAGAUAAUGACAGUACCCUUGGAGGAAGCCCCGGCUAAAUACGUGCCAGCCGCCGCCGUAACAC
rnacentral:rRNA from 1 species